rnacentral:rRNA from 1 species
UACGUAGGCAGCAAGCGUUGUUCGGAGUUACUGGGCGUAAAGGGUGCGUAGGCGGUCCUGUAAGUAUGGUGUGAAAUCUCCCGGCUUAACUGGGAGGGUGCGCUAUAGACUGCGGGACUAGAGGGUGGGAGAGGAAAGUGGAAUUCCUGGUGUAGCGGCGAAAUGCGUAGAUAUCAGGAGGAACACCGGUGGUGUAAACGGCUUUCUGGACCAUUUCUGACGCUGAGGCACGAAAGCGUGGGUAGCAAACAGG